GCCACAGAGUGUCUUUGGUUAGCACGUGUGCCUAGAAUUUUCAGCUGUUUUAAGUGUUUUGGUGAACUUUUGUGACUUAGUUUUGUGUUUGUGUGUUGUCUUUGUGUUUGUUACCAGUGGUGUGUUGUUAUUUCGUGCCGUCCUACUAACACAUUAAGUUACACAAGAUCGGCCACAGCACCAUCUUAAAUCAAUAUAUAUAUAUAUUUUAAAUUUAUUUUAAUUAAAAGCACUUCUUGCUUCUCAUCCCACUUGUCAUUGGCAGAAUCGUCGAAAUUGACAUCGACACGGAUUGCCAUAUACAAAAAUAGAAUAGAAUAGAAU
rnacentral:lncRNA from 1 species